AUUGAGGUCUUCAAGGAGACCAAGUCUAUCUCCAUUGGAGUCAUUCUUCACAUCUUCAUGGGAUCUUACAAUGAAAAGAUAAUCAAUCAAGUUGAACAUUUGUUUGGUCAUAUUAAUGAUGCCUUGUUCUCUUGGCCAAUUUACUUACCUGGUUUUUCUUAUUACAAUGCACUCCAGGUUUGUACCCAAUUCAUGUUUACAAAACAACCAUUAAUGAAAAUUCACGUGAAGUUGUUAAUUAAAAACAGUUAAAUAAUUUGAUAUAUUUGACUAAAUUGUUAUUUAAUGGUCUAAAUUAACAAUUUCAUGUAAGUUUUUACUAUGUUAUGAUUUUUUGAUUGAUUUUAUAUGUGACAUAUUAAUUAUUAGAAUCGUAAGAAGGUGCAAAAGAUAGUUAAAUCCGUUGUGGAGGAUAGGAAGAUGAUGCUAAAAAAUGGUGAAAUGCUAUCGGAAAAGAAAGAUCUUGUGGAUGUUCUUCUGGAACUAGAGGAUGUGAAUGGUCGAAAAUUGAAGGGUGAAGACAUUGUUGACUUGUUAAUAUUAUUCUUAAUAGCUGGUCAUCUAAGUACAGCUACGGUUAUGAUGUGGGCAAUGAUUUAUCUUUCUAACAACCCACUCGCCUUCAAAAAAGCUAAGGUAAUUUGCUAUUUUGUAUUAGUAUUCAAGAUACGCUUCAUUUCAAAUAGAUCUAUAUAUAAUCUCUUUAAUUUUAAUUCUUUUUAUGUUGUAGGAGGAACAGGAAGAAAUCAUUAAGUCAAGGCCACCUUCGCAACAGUAUUUAAGUAUUGAGGAAAUUAAGCAAAUGGUUUAUCUUACUAAGGUAAUUGUAAGAUCGCAAAUGUUUGGUAACCAAAGAAAAUCAGCAAAAAAUAGCCGUAAGUUAUUUUAUUUAGCAUUCAUUAAUUGUUGCGACAAUUAAUGAAUGUUAAAUAAGGCAAAUUUUGACUGUUUUUUUUUGUCUUUCUAACUUUUUGUAAUAAUUAAUAAAUAUUAGAUAAGAUAAGUUCUAAUUAUUUGUUGAGGAAUGCUAGGAGGCCAGUAAUAUUUGUGAUUUGUAACCAUCAAAUAGCUAUCAAGAUGAUUUUAAUGGUGUGAGAUUGGUGUGAAAUUUCAUCCAAUGACUCACUUUUUUUUUGCUAAAGUUGCUGUCCCUAGACUUUUCCUUAUUGGUUUUGUUUUGUUAGUAUUAUCGUUUACUCUCUAACUUUAAGGAGAUUAUGGAGAAAUUGCACUUAAUUAAUAACCUGAUAAUUAUUAGAUAUUAUUAUGUCUUGUAGGUAAUUAACGAAGUAUUGCGUGUGAGCGAUUUCGCCAUUCCACUUUCUCGAGAGGCAACUACUGAUGUCAAUAUCAAUGGUACAUUAUUUUAUGUUUUAUCACAUAUAAAUAGUUUUGGUAAUUGCAUUUUUAAGAAAUAUAUUAAAAUGUUUAAUAUUAAUAAGUCUUCAAUUUUCAGUUCAUUAUAAAUUCAUUAAAAAAUAAAAUAAUUUUUCUUUAAAAAAAUAACUACACNNNNNNNNNNNNNNNNNNNNNNNNNNNNNNNNNNNNNNNNNNNNNNNNNNNNNNNNNNNNNNNNNNNNNNNNNNNNNNNNNNNNNNNNNNNNNNNNNNNNNNNNNNNNNNNNNNNNNNNNNNNNNUUUGUAUCUAGGGCUGGAAGUGAGUCGAGCUGAGCCGAGCUAGACCAAGCUCAAGCUCGGCUCACAAAAAUUGAGCUUGGCUCACGACUCGCCUCAUUAACAAUCGAGCUUAUUUCUUAAGUUCAAGCUCGACUCACCAAAAGCUCACGAGCUGGUUCAAACUCACGAGCUGGCUCAAAUAAGAGAAACAUAAAUACAUAAUCUAUAAUUUUAUAUCAAUAAAUUAUAACUUAUAUAUUUUUAAAAAUAUUUGAAAAGAUCAAUUUUAUAUAUUGUUUAUCUAUCAAUAAAUUAUAAAUUUUUUAUUUAUGUCCUAUAUUAAAAUUAUAUGUAAAAAAUAAAUAUAAAUAUUAAAUAAUUAAAAUUGUUAUAUAUAUAAUCGAGCCAACUCACGAGCUAAUGAGCUGAGCUUAUCCAAUCUCAAACUCGGCUCAUUUAAUUUAUGAGUUCAAUUUCAGGCUCAAGCUUGGCUCACCAACUCACGAGCUUAGCUUAUCGAGCUGUUAACGAGUCGAGUUUGAGCUGGCUCAUGAGCUGGCUUGACUCACUUCCAACCCUAUUUGUAUCCUAUUAUUUAUCUCGUUUACAGUAUAAAUAAAUUAAUUAAGAGUAUAUUUCGUUUAUAUUGUAAUAGUUAGAGCAUUAAUUAAGUACAAUAAUAACAUAUAAUAAAAAUAUAUCAAUAAUAUUACUGUACGAGAAUUUGACGCUUUUAUUUUUGGAUAUGAACACUAUUUUUUUUAUGUUGUCACAAUUGUAACAGGUAUGGAGGAAUUGGUAUGUAUAAAACACACUUGUUCAUGAAGCCAAGUAUUCUUGUGUGCACUCUAGAGGACUCAAGAAGAGUAUUAAGUGAUGACAAAAAUUUUAGGCUUGCUUAUCCUGAAACCGCAAUAACAGUGGUUAAAACGAUCUUAUAUGAAGUGUCAAAUGAGGAUCACAAGCGUUUUCGACGCCUAGUCACUGCUCCCAUCAUGGGUUACAAUGCUUUGGCCAUGUUUCUUGAGCGCAUAGAGGACAUUGUCGUCAAUUCACUCCAAGGAAUGGCUGAUAAUAGCAUGCAACAGCCUAUUGAGGUCUUCAAGGAGACCAAGUCUAUCUCCAUUGGAGUCAUUCUUCACAUCUUCAUGGGAUCUUACAAUGAAAAGAUAAUCAAUCAAGUUGAACAUUUGUUUGGUCAUAUUAAUGAUGCCUUGUUCUCUUGGCCAAUUUACUUACCUGGUUUUUCUUAUUACAAUGCACUCCAGGUUUGUACCCAAUUCAUGUUUACAAAACAACCAUUAAUGAAAAUUCACGUGAAGUUGUUAAUUAAAAACAGUUAAAUAAUUUGAUAUAUUUGACUAAAUUGUUAUUUAAU
rnacentral:lncRNA from 1 species